rnacentral:rRNA from 1 species
UCUUCCGCUUGGUGAACCAGCGGAGGGAUCAUUACCGUGACAGUAGGACCCCCUAUGCCCUCGGGUGUGGGGGGCGACCGUCUCUUCCCGCGAGAACCCCAGCCCCCAUAGGGCCGUGGCCGCCGGGAGGCUAUGCCAGCCGGACGAACCGCCGCGCUGGUUUGCCCCUCUCGGCGCGAGCCCCGGAUCCCCCCCCCCCCCUUCAUACCUUUCCUACUUUUGAGACCCUUUGAGGAUUUGAUUCCCCAACCCCUCGUUAGAGGAAAGGAUUAUGUCACAACUUUCAGCAACGGAUCUCUUGGCUCCGGUAACGAUGAAGGACGCAGCGAAAUGCGAUACGCAGUGCGAAUUGCAGAUCUCCGCGAGUCAUCGGAUCUCUGAACGCACAUGGCGCCCGCCGGGUUUCCCCGGCGGGCACGCCCGUCCGGAGCGGCCUCUUCCCCUCUCCGUGGUUCUUUGGGAGCCCGGGUGUUGGGUGCCCGCGGCUGCUCGCGGGCGCCCCAAAUUCAGCGGCGGCAGCCCCCGCGGAUAUUCCCUUGGCGAAGCAGUAUCUCUGGCGCCUCGGGACGUGGUAGGCAGCCUCCCCAGAACCAUGAAAAAGGGCCCUCGGAUCGGGCGGGACGACCCGCUGGAAC